UUUGAAAUUUUUUGCUCAUUUGAAACUUUUUUGCUCAUUUAACUUUUUUUGCUCAUUUGAAACUUUUUUGCUCAUUAAUUUUAUUUUUGCUCAUUUAAAAAUUCAUUUUGCUCAUUUAAUCCAAAUGAGCAAAAUUAUCCAAACUCUACUUCAUCUUAUUUUUCCCUCUUCUCGAUUUCAUUCUACUUAACACCAUGAGUCCAUGACAAUUAAUAGCUCAAAAGAGCACUUUCCUCAAUCAUCCACAGAUUCAAAUUAAAUGACAAAUACACAUAUUCAAAUUAACCUUUAAAAUGAAAAAUUAAAAACAUUAUAUGGACAAAAACACAAAGACAAAUACAAGCAUUGAUCUCAAAGUGGAGUGAUGAAAAUUGUUCGAAAGCAAUGCUGAUAAUAAAUUGAUGUUGCCGCAAGGAGAUGCAACAGAUUCAAAUGAAUCUCGGAAUAAUGGAGAGAAGAACAUUCAGCUACAUGUAAGAUUUUCACCCGAUUUCCUCAGCUCCAUUUUCUUUCACUACCUUACCCAUGACAUCCAUCUCCUUCCUCAUCAAAAGCUCCGAUUGAAAAAAUAAAAUUCAUCAUAAAUAACAACACAAAUCAUAUCCAAUAGUGGUAAAUCAACCAAUAGACUAUAUAAUCAAAUCUAAUUUACAAAUUGAGUUGUCUUCCUUUUUGUAUAAUAUGAGCAGGUGAAAUAUGUAAGGACGGAGAAAUAGCAAAGGGGGUAAAAUGGAAGAGAGAGAAGGAGGGGGUAAAGUAGAGGAGAGAGAAGGAGGGGGGUCGUUAACAUAAUCAAAUACCGAGUUAAGGUAACAUUUAGGUACUAACAUUUGAUAUUUUUCACUUAUAGGUACUCACCUUUUUUUUUCACCGUUUGGGUACUCACUUCCCAAUUCCGGUGAAAAUUAAUUAAAGCCCAUUAAAAACUUAAACCCUUGAGUUAAUAUGUUAGUCCCUUGGUUAGCAAAAAGUCAGUCCCCUAAUUUCUUUUAAACAAAAUCACCUUAAUUUUUUUUUCUUUAUUCGCGGCUUCUUCUUCUUCUUCUUGUGGAGCUUGGAUUCAAGAUAAUUUUGUAAUUUUUAUUUGGCAUAUACACUUAUCCUAAUGGAUUCCAAAGACAAGCCGUGUGCUCUACUAAAUUUAACAUGCUUGCAGUUCAUUAACACAAAUGGAUCACAAAGCAGUGUUGCAUCAGCAAGUACACACCAUGGUGGUCUAUCAUCAACCAUUAUACAACAAGGAGGUUCAUAAUAGCAGGUUAAAUAAAUAUCUUACUUGAACAUAAUAACUAAACCUAGUACAAUAUAUCGUUAGCGAUAUGAUUACAAUGCUUGAAACCAUAACUUUAAUUUGGCCUUGUAUAUUAUUUUCCUAUGAUGCAUAUUUCUUUGGUUAAUAUUGAUACCAUUUGUACAUUGUAGAAUUCGUCGUCUUGGUAAUGUACAUUCUUAUUAAACCUGAAUGAGUUUGUCAAUUAUCAUUUGUCAACUAGGAAAUGUUGCUUUGUACAAAAGUUGUUUGGGUGUUACUAUGGGUAGUGUGUUGCUUCUCCAUUUAUCUAUAUUCAGGUAUAGUAAGUUUAAUAUUUUUCUUUACUUCAUGGGCUUUCAUAUUGUAUAAAAUGAAGUAAACUACGUAGUAUUUUUUCAAAUUUUCAUUAGUACUUUAAAUACUUGAAGCUAAACUUUUAACCUCUUAUUACUGUAUUUGUUUUCUUCGAAAGGGUGUGCAUCCUGGUCUCAGGUUUGUGUUAUGAGAACUGACAAUACAGUAGCAGUCUAGCACAAUACAUAAAUUUUUGUACUUCAGAGGAUCAGAUUUUUUUCACUCUUUUGUGAAGUGUUGUUUCAAGUAAAGCUUCAUUGAUUAUUUGGCAUGUUGGGUUUCAACUUAUAUUAAUUGCCGACUUUACAAGGCCUUCUCAUUAUUAGAGCCUCUGUUUCAUUUAUAAUUUCCAUUUUCUUGAUUACGUAAAUAUCACAACUAAGGAAAUGCAUCUAAUAGUUUGUGAGACAAAGCCAUUAGAUAUUUACUUGAAACACAACUACAAUCGUUUUUUAAUUGUUUCAGAAGCUUAUGAAAAGGAAUAUAAUUUGCUCUUAUUCACACUUCUAUGAUGCAGGAAUGAUAAGGGCUGAUGAACAACUCGUCAAGAAGAGUAUUUAUGUGCUGCUAAUUGGAAAUAGAAUAGUGCUUUUAGGCUAUCUUGGAAAUAUUUAUUUGAUUUUGGCAAGAUAUUGUACUUUGUUUUGACAUUGAUAUAAUAUUUCUUAAUGACCGUUUGGAACUUAAGGAACAAACAUAAA